rnacentral:lncRNA from 1 species
GGGCAAGUUUUCUUUGAUUCUGAAGUUGUGAAACAGCGGCUCGCCAGAGUGCUAAGUCCCCCACUCUGAAGGCUUUGCUCUUGACCCGAAAGUUGUAGUAGCGGACUACUUUUUGCUUGUAGGCUACCAUCCGAACUUGAGCUGUCUCCUGCUUUUCUUCUAAUAAGUCGAGGUUGGCCUUAAGAUCCCAUGAAUUGCGCUGCUCGUCGAAUGCCACGACUCGCACUGACGGAAGCUUGAGUUCAAUCAGGAUAACG